UGGACGCAGAGGUCCGCUGCCAAAAAGGGCAGAAAGUGUCGUGAAAAUUUUCAAAUAUUGCAUAAAGUCGUCGUCUUGGGUCAUACAUCGGCAUUGUAAUGAUGCCGAGUACGUUAAAGAAUAAAAUAUUGAAUUUGCAGCAAAAACUAAGGGCUGAAAAUGAGUCAAGUGACAGAGACAGGCAAAAUACCGUUGGGAUGCCAGGAACGGGCUUACCGCCGUCAUCCUCGGGGCCUGCAGGGACUAGCCCUGUCGUCCGGAGGCCAAGACAGCUGGUAGAUUCCGGGACGCCAACCAGACCCAGACGACAACUGGAUUUACCUGUUCUGCAGAUGCCACCCCAGCGAACACACGAUAGCGAAUUUGACUCGAAAUUGCAAGAAAUUAUGAAAAUGAAUGGAAUUCUGAGCAUAAAUGGCCGGAAGUAUCAUACAGAAAUGAAGGAUCUGGAGCACCUUGGAGAAUUAGGAAAUGGGACCUGCGGUCAUGUUGUCAAAAUGAGACAUAAGCCCAGUGGAGUUGUCAUAGCAGUAAAACAAAUGCGGAGGUCAGGCAAUGCCGAAGAAAAUAAACGGAUAAUAAUGGAUCUAGAUGUCGUCCUGAAGUCCCAUGACUGCCCUUACAUUGUCCAGUGCUUAGGGUGUUUUAUUACAGAGUCUGACGUAUGGAUAUGCAUGGAACUUAUGGCCACGUGUCUAGAUAAGUUAUUAAAAAGAACUAGACAAGCAAUACCUGAAGAAUUUCUUGGGAAAGUCACUGUUGCAACAGUUAAAGCGCUAUCGUACCUGAAAGAAGUUCACGGCGUUAUCCACAGAGACGUGAAACCUAGCAACAUAUUGUUGGAUGAGACGGGGGGUGUUAAACUAUGUGACUUUGGAAUAUCUGGUCGAUUGGUGGACAGUAAAGCCAAAACUAGGAGUGCGGGCUGUGCAGCUUAUAUGGCGCCUGAACGAAUAGAUCCUCCUGAUCCAACGAAACCUGACUACGAUAUAAGAGCAGAUGUCUGGAGUCUGGGUAUAACCUUAGUAGAAUUAGCUACCGGAGUGUUCCCAUAUCGAGACUGUAAAACUGACUUUGAGGUUCUAAGUAGGGUGGUACAGGACGAGCCCCCCUCUCUACCCCCAGACUCAACUUUUUCCAAAGAAUUCCGUGGUUUUGUUAGCUGGUGUCUCACCAAGAACUAUAAGCAUCGGCCUAAGUACCAGAAGCUUAUAGAACACGCUUUCCUGAAGAGAUAUGAUUGUUGUCAAGGCGAUGGCAACGAAUCCACUUCGCCCAGUUCUGGUUCCGAGUGGUUCAUGACAGUCAUGCGACAAUUAGAACAAAGACCAGCGGGAGUGCAGCCCCAAUUUUCUGGACACGUGUCCUUGAAACAAACGGUUCAUUUGAGAACCUACUCCGAAGCUCCAGCGUUUUUACGAAGUGGUAUCACCAAAGAACUACAAAAUUCCAACUUCCUACCAUUUCAGCCACGUACGAGUAGUGAAAAUGGUUCGAAUUAUGUCCCUAAUAGCCCAUAUGCAUUAAGAAGAAAAGAAACUGCUAGUCCGUUGUCAAUAUCAACUACCAAAGAUUCAGGAAACAGCAUGGAAUCCAAUAUACACAGGCCAUUUUCACCUUUAUGGCAAGAAUCCAAAAGCACUGAUAAAAGUUGCGAUCUCUUCAACACACCCGUUCCAGAAAAAAGUCCAACAAACGGUCAAACUCGACCAUUCUCUCCAUUCAGACAGGAUACAAACUCUACGGAAACAAGGAGUAGACCUUAUUCACCCUUUUCUUCAAGAUUAGCGUCCAGGUCGUUGAGUCCAUUUGCUCGUGACUACUCACCGUGGAGACGGGAGAAUGUCGAUCCACCAGGCGUGGUUCAACCUUCAACGGAAUGUGGAAAAUAUUCACCCUUCAUGCAACAAAGAGUUAGACACUUAUCACCUAGCACCCAUCCGCCAAUCCAGGACAUAUAUGGAAGCCCAUUAGUCAGUCGGAAGAGAUUUCCAUCGGAGCCACCGGCACAGGGUUCCACUAGUCCGCAACUACUUAUAUCACGAUAUGCUCAUCAGCACCACCAGCGUAAACAAGAAGUCAAUCCACCAGUGGCGCAGGUCCACGGAGCAUCCAAGGAAUCAGCAAAAAGACGCUUUGCUUCUUACGUUAGGCUUCGACUUGGCAGUGACCGUGCUCCUUCCCCAGAACCUCCUCCGAGACUCAACCGUGGAGAAUCUCCGCUGGCUUUGAGAAGGAAUGUUAACGAUCAACCCUCACCUUCUUUUCCCAGAAGGUACGUGUCACCAUCACCGCCGCAGCCCCCACCCAGAAGACUUUCUGAAAGCAGUUCCGCACCUGGGAGUCCACAACAUGUCCGUGCCCGCCUACGUUACACGCCUGAACCCCAAAGAAGGCCCCCACCCACGUAACCCACCAUGAAAUCCCCCAAUAGUUGGUAUUUUAUCAGUGCCAUACACACGCCAUAUUGCUUCGCCAAUUAUCACUCAUGACUUAGAACGGAUAUCAUGCGUUCACCGAUUGAAUGGCCCCACACAGCAAACACCAUGAUGUACGCAUAUAUAUACAAUAAGUACAACGUCUGCAGCGACAACAAACUGCUGGAUUAAACUUCAAUCCUAUCAAAACGUCCUGGCUUUCACUGGAUAUCUUAUUAAUUACUUCGGUUUGAAUUACAAUGCAAUUAUAAGGACAACAUUGUUUGCAAACCAAAACGACACAGACCACUGACCUAGCUCUUACAGUUAAGCACAAGAGUCACGUCUCGAUACUAUAAUUUUAAUUGUAUAUUACUUACAUAAAUCAAAGACCUGGUAGAUAGCACGAUGUAAUUAUUAUUUUCAAAAUAAUAUUAACUCAUGAUAAUACUAAUUACGUUCAGUCUACGCUCGUAAUCACCUUUGUCGCUUAUUCGGCAAAAAGAUUUGUUGCUAUGUAAAUAAACUUAUAUUUAUACGA
rnacentral:misc_RNA from 1 species